AUGAAUACAAUGUUUGGAUAAAUU
rnacentral:miRNA from 1 species